rnacentral:rRNA from 1 species
GACGAACGCUGGCGGCGUGCUUAACACAUGCAAGUCGAACGGAAAGGCCCUGCUUUUGUGGGGUGCUCGAGUGGCGAACGGGUGAGUAACACGUGAGUAACCUGCCCUUGACUUUGGGAUAACUUCAGGAAACUGGGGCUAAUACCGGAUAGGAGCUCCUGCUGCAUGGUGGGGGUUGGAAAGUUUCGGCGGUUGGGGAUGGACUCGCGGCUUAUCAGCUUGUUGGUGGGGUAGUGGCUUACCAAGGCUUUGACGGGUAGCCGGCCUGAGAGGGUGACCGGCGAGAUUGGGACUGAGAUACGGCCCAGACUCCUACGGGAGGCAGCAGUGGGGAAUAUUGCACAAUGGGCGGAAGCCUGAUGCAGCAACGCGGCGUGCGGGAUGACGGCCUUCGGGUUGUAAACCGCUUUCGCCUGUGACGAAGCGUGAGUGACGGUAAUGGGUAAAGAAGCACCGGCUAACUACGUG